rnacentral:rRNA from 1 species
UAGAGUUUGAUCCUGGCUCAGGAUGAACGCUGGCGAGAUGCCUUACACAUGCAAGUCGUACGAGAAUUUUGAAUUCAAGUGGCGGACGGGUGAGUAACACGUAAGAAUUUACCUUUAGGAGGGGGAUAACAACUGGAAACGGUUGCUAAUACCCCAUAUGCUUUCGAGUGAAAUGGAUUUUCUGCCUAAAGGGAAGCUUGCGGCUGAUUAGCUUGUUGGUGAGGUAAUGGCUUACCAAGGCGACGAUCAGUAUCUGGUUUGAGAGGAUGAUCAGACACACUGGAACUGAGACACGGUCCAGACUUCUACGGGAGGCAGCAGUGGGGAAUUUUCCGCAAUGGGCGAAAGCCUGACGGAGCAAUCUCGCGUGAGGGAUGACGGCCUAUGGGUUGUAAACCUCUUUUUUCAGGAAGGAAUCAAAUGACGUGUACCUGAAGAAUAAGCAUCGGCUAACUCCGUGCUAGCAGCCGCGGUAAGACGGAGGAUGCAAGUGUUAUCCGGAAUCACUGGGCGUAAAGCGUCUGUAGGUGGUUUAGUAAGUCAACUGUUAAAUCUUGAAGCUCAACUUCAAAUCGCAGUCGAAACUAUUAGACUAGAGUAUAGUAGGGUAAAGGGAAUUUCCAGUGGAGCGGUGAAAUGCGUAGAGAUUGGAAAGAACACCGAUG